rnacentral:lncRNA from 10 species
ACUUCCGGUUGCUAACGGUUCCCAAACAGCCCCCGAAAACGCUACGUGAGCUGGGCCCUGGGCCAGAGGCAGAAAACGGACGGAAGAAAAGGUCUGGCCGGUGAGUGUCAGAGUGAGGGCGAGAUUGGGUGGUGUUCUCUGCCGGUGGAUAGGCUCGACCGUCCGGUUUGGGAUUGGGGUUAGGUAUUAGGGAGCGGUUCAAAAUUAUGCUAAUUGUUAAGAUUACGAGUAUUAUUUAAAAAGAUACACAACAGCAACAAUACAAUGAGCCCACGAAGAUCAAAUGCCAGUUAACUGAUUUAAGCAGCUUUGAUAGGAAGAAAAUGCUGAAUUUAAUGCUAACAAAAAGAUCUAAGUGCGCUGUUAGGGGCUAAGACUUUAACAUUAUGGGCCAGCCACUGUUCUAAACCCUUCACAUUUGGUCACUCAUUUAAUUCCUACUUUAUGAGGUAGAUAUCAUUAUAAUACUGUUUUACAGAUGGGGAACCUGAGGCACAGAGAGAAAAAUGUAUUAGCCAAGGUCAUAUAACUAGUAACUGGCAGAACAAAGAUUCAUACCCAGGCAUUCUUCCUUUAAAUUCUGUACUCUGGCCUUUCAUUGAUAACCUGGUUUUAUCAGCUUAGGAAAUUUGCUAUCCAGAUGGAAGUAUAAGUUUCUACAGAGAUAUGUUAUUGCAGCAGUGUUCUGAAUCUCAUCGGGUUUGUUGGCAAUUUGCCUUUCAACAAAGGGUUUUUUUUUUUUUUUUUGAUAAGGGUGGCUUCCACAGAGAUUUAAGGAGAACAAUAAAAAUUUUCAUUUUAAUAAAUAAGCCCCAUUUCAACGUCCCUUCUCCUGUAUCAUUCCUCUGAUUCUUCUCUGUCGUUAUUUGUUUCUAUUAGGUUAAAUCAUUUUACAUUUCUGGUAUUUAACCAUUUUGACCCACAAAAACAGGGAUUUCAUUUGUUUAACCUAAUACAGAAACAUCUUUUCAAGCAGAAUUUAGGAAUCUACAACAAUGAGCAAGAUUAUAUUUUCAUCUCCAAAAUGUACGUUAAGUCUGUUUGUUUCUCUUUAUAUCCACUGUGAACCCAUGGUCCAUGCCACUACCUUCUUUCACUUGGGUUACUACAGUAGCCUCUGGACUGAUUUCCUUACUUCUGCUCUUUUCUCAUUCUUGCCUCUUUAAGGAGCCAGAAUGAUCUUUUCUAAACAAACAUUGGAUUAUGUUCCUCCCUUCUAGUAGUUCCCCAUCACGUUUAGAAUACACAUCCUGGCCCCUGUUCACCUCUCUAACCUAAUCUUGUGUCACCUUCCCCUUAAUCCAGUGCUUUCAACACGUGGCCUUUUUCAGUUCCUGUAACACACCAAAUUCAUCCCUAUUCAGAGACUUUGCAUUACCUCUCCCUUUCGUGUGGAAUGGUUUUCUGCAGAACUGAAGGUCAGUUCUAUCUAAUAAAUAGGAAUAUAAUGGGAUUCACCUAUGUAAUUUAAAACAUUCUUAUUAAUAGCCAUAUUAAAAAUGUAAAAAGACAGGUGAAAUUAUCUUUAGUUUAAACCAUCAUAUCCAAAAUAUUACUAUAUCAACAUCUAAUCAAU